rnacentral:rRNA from 1 species
ACGGGAGGCAGCAGUGGGGAAUAUUGCGCAAUGGGCGGAAGCCUGACGCAGCGACGCCGCGUGGGGGAUGACGGCCUUCGGGUUGUAAACCUCUUUCGACCCUGACGAAGCUUUCGGGUGACGGUAGGGGUAGAAGAAGCACCGGCCAACUACGUGCCAGCAGCCGCGGUAACACGUAGGGUGCGAGCGUUGUCCGGAAUUAUUGGGCGUAAAGAGCUCGUAGGCGGUGUGUCGCGUCGGCCGUGAAAACUUGCAGCUUAACUGUGGGCGUGCGGUCGAUACGGGCAUCACUGGAGUUCGGCAGGGGAGACUGGAAUUCCUGGUGUAGCGGUGAAAUGCGCAGAUAUCAGGAGGAACACCGGUGGCGAAGGCGGGUCUCUGGGCCGAUACUGACGCUGAGGAGCGAAAGCGUGGGGAGCGAACAGGAUUAGAUACCCUGGUA